rnacentral:rRNA from 1 species
GGGGGAUAUUGCACAAUGGAGGAAACUCUGAUGCAGCAACGCCGCGUGAGGGAAGAAGGUCUUCGGAUUGUAAACCUUAGUAGUCAGGGACGAAAGAAAUGACGGUACCUGAAGAGUAAGCUCCGGCUAACUACGUGCCAGCAGCCGCGGUAAUACGUAGGGAGCGAGCGUUGUCCGGAUUUACUGGGUGUAAAGGGUGCGUAGGCGGGACUGCAAGUCAGACGUGAAAUACCGGGGCGUAACCUCGGGGCUGCGUUUGAAACUGCGGUUCUUGAGUGAAGUAGAGGCAGGCGGAAUUCCUAGUGUAGCGGUGAAAUGCGUAGAUAUUAGGAGGAACACCAGUGGCGAAGGCGGCCUGCUGGGCUUUAACUGACGCUGAAGCACGAAAGCAUGGGGAGCAAACA